rnacentral:snRNA from 1 species
GCGCUCCCUUGGGCAGCGCUUACAGUGACAUUGGACGGAUGCAGAGAUUAGCUUGACCCCCACACGAGGACGACACGCAAACUCAUGAAGUCAUCUAUACUUUU